UACGGAGGGGGCAAGCGUUUUUCGGAAUUACUGGGCGUAAAGCGCGCGUAGGCGGGCUGUUAAGUCGGGGGUGAAAUCCCGGGGCUCAACCCCGGAACUGCCUUCGAUACUGGCAGCCUAGAGGACGGAAGAGGUCAGUGGAAUGGCGAGUGUAGAGGUGAAAUUCGUAGAUAUUCGCCGGAACACCAGUGGCGAAGGCGACUGACUGGUCCGUUUCUGACGCUGAGGUGCGAAAGCGUGGGGAGCAAACAGG
rnacentral:rRNA from 1 species